ensembl:lncRNA
CCCCCCCCCCCACAUACACACAGUCUAACACGUGUAGCUAUGUGUGUCAGUCAUGUCUUUCCAGACCCCCCCCUCCCCACAUACACACAGUCUAACACGUGUAGCUAUGUGUCUUUUUGCGUGUCAGCUGCUUGAGUGAAAAUCUUCUUUUUUUCCCUCCUGAUGUCACAUUGGCAAUAAUGGAGAGAAAUCAUGGCUGGCAACUAUUUUCUUACAUUUUGUAAUGUUUUGUUUGUGUUUGGUUUUUCAACGUUGAAUUUGCGAUAUUUAUAUUUUUGUAUUAUGAGAUGUUUUUGUUUUGUUUACUUCCAUUAUUGGUCAUACAUGUCAGUGGAUAACAAAUGCAGGGAUUUUUAUGUCUAUUGAAAAACACUAUUACUAUUGUUUUGACAUGAAUGGUGUUCAAUCUGUAUAAAGUGCUUACUAAUGUUAAGUAGGGAAACCAGAGUAUAUAACAUUUACACUACAAGACUCACCAUAGCUCUUAGAGGAUUUUAAAAGGAAAAGAAACAGAUCUAUGGUUUUCUACAGAUGCCAUUUGGUCUUGGUUGGCGAGGAUAUAUAUUGUUUCAGUUACAAAGAUAAAUGUAUGCCAUAUAAUUUAUUUAUAUGAAAAUGUAUUUUUGUAGUGUACAUAGUUGUCAAGUUAUUUGACAGAAGUAUAUAUUUUUAAGAGUUUAUAUGUAAUAAUACCGUAACAGAGAAAAAUCCUACGGUGCACACUUUCAUCGCUAACUGGCUCUGACGGCAUUGACUGACUCGUCCCACUCAGUAUUAUCUAUCAUAGGGGAGAGAACUCAGCCAGCUGUUUCUAUGGGUUUGUCAAAGGCUGGCCAUGAAAGUAGAAGUUGUACCAGCUCUCUAAAUACUAAUGUUCAAACACUGAUAGAAUUCUAACAAAUACAAAUAUUAUAACUUAUUUGUCUCUUUUUUUUAAUAACUUUAAUAAAUGGAUCUUAAAGGAAUUGUUUGUUGUUGACUCAGAACAUGUUUUUGUUAAAGUCCCACUCGUUUUGAGUAAAAUAUAGUUUUUUACCUCUGAAUAUUGUUUACCAUGUACUGUAUGGUUUCACACUUUACAUUAUGUUGAACUGAUAUCAUUUAAAUGAGUAGUUACAUUAUGUUUACUUAAUGUAAAGUGUUGCCAGAACCCUUGAUUAUGGAGCAUUUCCCCCUGUACAUCACUAGGUCAAAACAUUUUAGGUGAACACUCAGGUACUCCUUGUCCACUCCUCUCCUCUCCCACCUCGCCAUUGAAACUGGCUGACAUCUGGUCCUGAAUUCAGCAGCUCCCUCUAACAGCCACCUCCCUCGUCCCCCC